rnacentral:lncRNA from 1 species
AUAUAAUUGGUAGAAAAAUUUCAUCCACAGACUGGAUGGAGUGUAUGAUAUAUGUAAAAUGCUGCCAAAGUAUUCAUUCGUACUUUUUGCAGAAGUCAUUCUCGCAAUAAUGCGAUAAGUUUUGGAUUGUAGAGGUUGAUUCACGUAUUAUCGGAUUGUCUACAAAGGUCUUCUAACGCUUCAAAUCCAUGGUAAAUCGAGAUACGGACGAGCUAGAUUUAUAAUACACCGUUAAAGACCCUCCAAAAGCAAUAGCUUAAUG